UACGGAGGGUGCGAGCGUUGUCCGGAAUCACUGGGCGUAAAGGGCGCGUAGGUGGCACGCUAAGCGUGCGGUGAAAGCCCGGGGCUCAACCCCGGGUCGGCCGUGCGGACUGGCGCGCUCGAGCACUGUAGAGGCAGGUGGAAUUCCGGGUGUAGCGGUGGAAUGCGUAGAGAUCCGGAAGAACACCGGUGGCGAAGGCGGCCUGCUGGGCAGUUGCUGACACUGAGGCGCGACAGCGUGGGGAGCAAACAGG
rnacentral:rRNA from 1 species